rnacentral:tRNA from 1 species
GGAGAGGUGCCGGAGCGGUUGAACGGGCCGGUUUCGAAAACCGGUGUGGCCGCAAGGUCACCCAGGGUUCGAAUCCCUGCCUCUCCGCCA